UACGUAGGGGGCGAGCGUUGUCCGGAUUUAUUGGGCGUAAAGAGCGUGUAGGCGGCCAGGUAGGUCUGCUGUGAAAACUCGAGGCUCAACCUCGAGACGUCGGCGGAAACCAUCUGGCUAGAGUCCGGAAGAGGAGAGUGGAAUUCCUGGUGUUAGCGGUGAAAUGACGCAGAUAUCAGGAGGAACACCUGCGGUGUAGACGGCUUACUGGACCAUAACUGACGCUGAGGCACGAAAAGCGUGGGGUAGCAAACAGG
rnacentral:rRNA from 1 species